rnacentral:rRNA from 1 species
UGGAGCAUGUGGUUUAAUUCGAUGCAACGCGAAGAACCUUUACCUGGGCUUGACAUCCCAAGAAUCCCCUGGAAACAGGGGAGUGCCCUUCGGGAGCUUGGAGACAGGUGCUGCAUGGCUGUCGUCAGCUCGUGUCGUGAGAUGUUGGGUUAAGUCCCGCAACGAGCGCAACCCUUGCCUUUAGUUGCCAUCAUUCAGUUGGGCACUCUAGCGAGACUGCCGGUAAUAAACCGGAGGAAGUGGGGAUGACGUCAAAUCAUCAUGCCCCUUAUGACCUGGGCUGCACACGUGCUACAAUGGUUGGUACAACGAGUUGCGAGUCGGUGACGGCGAGCUAAUCUCUUAAAGCCAAUCUCAGUUCGGAUUGUAGGCUGCAACUCGCCUACAUGAAGUCGGAAUCGCUAGUAAUCGCGGAUCAGCACGCCGCGGUGAAUACGUUCCCGGGCCUU